ensembl:lncRNA
CAACCCCGUCUAUUGGUUGCCGGAGUUGUCACAAGUGAACACAGGUGACCUGGGACGCGCCAAGCCCCGCUGACAACAUCACAGCCAGCGGAAAUAAAAAUAAUUAGCAGCUGGAGUGCCAGUGGAGUGUAUCAUCCAGUUUUCUGAAAUUAUUAAUGACACAUAAUGCCUUUUUUUUGUUGCGUAGUUUGUGUUUGAGGAUACGAGCGAUUCCACUGACCGCAUUGGAGCGCACUGGUGGAAGACCCACGUAGUUUCCAGAACCUGCACUCCCAACUUCGUAUCAUCUGACCUUCAGAGCGUUAGCUGAUCAUGCAUUGUGCGCCAUAGUUUGCACUUUGGAAAUCGAUUUCACGGUCAUUCAGCUCCAGCGUUCACGGACUGCUGGAUAAAAAGAUGCACAAUCGAGAGCAUCCUGUCGGGCUGUAUCACCGCCUGGUACGGCAACUGCUCCGCCCACAACCGUAAGGCUCUCCAGAGGGUAGUGAGGUCUACACAACGCAUCAACGGGGGCAAACUACUUGCCCUCCAGGACACCUACACCACCCGAUGUUACAGGAGGGCCAUAAAGAUCAUCAAGGACAACAACCACCCGAGCCACUGCCUGUUCACCCCGCUAUCAUCCAGAAGGCGAGGUCAGUACAGGUGCAUCAAAGCUGGGACCGAGAGACUGAAAAACAGCUUCUAUCUCAAGGCCAUCAGACUGUUAAACAGCCACCACUAACAUUGAGUGGCUGCUGCCAACACACUGACUCAACUCCAGCCACUUUAAUAAUGGGAAUUGAUGGGAAAUGAUGUAAAAUAUAUCACUAGCCACUUUAAACAAUGCUACCUAAUAUAAUGUUUACAUACCCUACAUUAUUCAUCUCAUACGUAUAUACUGUACUCUAUCAUCUACUGCAUCCUUAUGUAAUACAUGUAUCACUAGCCACUAUGCCACUUUGUUUACAUACUCAUCUCAUAUGUAUAUACUGCACUCAAUACCAUCUACUGUAUCUUGCCUAUGCCGCUCUGUACCAUCACUCAAUCAUAUAUCCUUAUGUACAUAUUCUUUAUCCCCUUACACUUGUGUCUAUAAGGUAGUAGUUUUGGAAUUGUUAGCUAGAUUACUUGUUGGUUAUUACUGCAUUGUCGGAACUAGAAGCACAAGCAUUUCGCUACACUCGCAUUAACAUCUGCUAACCAUGUGUAUGUGACAAAUAAAAUUUGAUAUGAG